rnacentral:rRNA from 1 species
AUUGAACGCUGGCGGCAUGCUUUACACAUGCAAGUCGAACGGUAACAGGCCGCAAGGUGCUGACGAGUGGCGAACGGGUGAGUAAUGCAUCGGAACGUGCCCAGUCGUGGGGGAUAACGCAGCGAAAGCUGUGCUAAUACCGCAUACGAUCUAUGGAUGAAAGCGGGGGACCGUAAGGCCUCGCGCGAUUGGAGCGGCCGAUGUCAGAUUAGGUAGUUGGUGGGGUAAAGGCUCACCGAGCCAACGAUCUGUAGCUGGUCUGAGAGGGCGACCAGCCAAACUGGGACUGAGACACGGCCCAGACUCCUACGGGAGGCAGCAGUGGGGAAUUUUGGACAAUGGGCGCAAGCCUGAUCCAGCAAUGCCGCGUGCAGGAUGAAGGCCUUCGGGUUGUAAACUGCUUUCGUACGGAACGAAACGGUCUGGGUUAAUACCCUGGGCUAAUGACGGUACCGUAAGAAUAAGCACCGGCUAACUACGUGCCAGCCGCCGCUGUAA